GGCAACUUGGCAAGAGCAACGGCUCAGGGCCACCACUCCCACGGCUGCAGCUUCCCCUUCCCAGGAUGAAGCAUGGGGCAGUGAGACCCAGGAAAUGACCAGGGCUACAGGGUGUGAGCCCGCGCAGACACCACAGUGGCAGCAGCACACACAGAUGCCAGGUGCCUGGGGAAGAGCACGCAGCGGGCACCCACGGGAGCUGAGGGCUCGGGCUCCCACCCGGAGAGGCCGAACAGAGCAGAGGUGUUUGCCGCGAAGUGCUCUCCUCCUCCCCGCUCCCUGGAGAUUGACUCCGCAGGAACCCUGGAGCAGCACCACCUCGCCCCACGCAGAGUGCUCAGAGCACCUCUCCAUGGAGCCAACCGGUAAGCAACUUGGACACAGCAGGGCGAAACGGGAAGCAGCAGCCCUGGUUGCCUGGGCCCAGGAUGGCUCCCCAGAGGAGCGUACUCAGGUGACGGUGGAGGCAGGGGAAGGGUGGCUCCCCGAGGGCCCCUUCUACCCACAGGUCAGAUGGCUGUACGGCAAUCCAGG
rnacentral:lncRNA from 1 species